rnacentral:rRNA from 1 species
AAGGGCACCACAAGAACGCGUGGAGCAUGUGGCUUAAUUUGACUCAACGCGGGAAAUCUUACCGGGUCCGGACACACUGAGGAUUGACAGGCAAUAUUGUGUUGUUUACAACGCAUGUUAAAUAUGCUAGUCCUUUCAUGAUUAUGUGAUAGGUGGUGCAUGGCCGUUCUUAGUUCGUGGAGUGAUCUGUCUGCUUAAUUGCGUUUCACUAAGGGCCUAUAACAAUACGUAUGUUGUUGACUGCUUUGACCCCUCCUUCGGGUGCGCGUGUCUUUGUCUGUUCAACUCAUGCAAUUAGGUCCUGAAAGCAACGAACGUGACCGCAGCCUCUUGUUGCCUUUAUCUCACGGCACAUUCUGAUUCUUAUCAGUUUUGUGUUUCAAAAAGGCUUUUUUAAACUAGAGGGACCGCUGUUACUUUCUUAAACCAGAGGAAGGUUGCGGCAAUAACAGGUCUGUGAUGCCCUUAGAUGUUCCGGGCUGCACACGUGCUACAAUGAUUAUUGCAGUGAGCAUCUCAUUUUUACACAUCGCCUGCGCAAGGCCAUUUAUUCAUUGCUUCGGCUUGCUUUAAAUGUGCUCUUUGUGCGCGAUUAAGCCUGCUUCGAAAGUAAGUGGGUAAUCAAUUAGAAGUAAUGAUUUCCUUUUUAUAGCACAACUAUAUACGGCAUCUUUACCCGGCUGGCCUUGUUUGCCAGUUCUUGUGUGUAUUGAUGUUUUUUCUCCGUAUGUGCAAUUGUCAAUUCAUGGUGGGGACAGACCAUUGUUAAUUGUUGGUCUCGGUCUUAACUAGGAAUGCCUUGUACGGGUCUUUGGUUCAACAAACCACCCGGAAUACGUCCCUGCCCUUUGUACACACCGCCCGUCGCUCUUACCGAUGGACUUCUCUGUGAGUUUGAGGGACAGGAGUCUUCUCUAUGGGAACUCAAACGAACAGUGUGGUCUAAAGGAAAGAGAAGUCGAACAAGGCA